GUGGUGUGGGCCUAUGACCACAGCCCUUGGGAAGGAGAGGUGGGGGACUUUGAGUUGAGGACUUCCUGGGUGACCUAACAAGUCGUAGGCUAGUCUGGACUUCAUAGUGGGACCAUGUCUCAAAAAUGGUGUUCUUGAAUAGUAUAUUUUAUUUUAUUAUUUUGUUUUGCCUACAACCAAGCCUGUGCACCAUGUGAAUGCAGUGCCCGUAGAGACCAGAAGAGGGCAUUGAAACCCCUGGGACUGGCAUCACCUACUGUUGUGAGCUGCCAUGGGGGUGCUGGAAGUCAGUCCCUGGUCCCCUUAACUGCUGAGCCAUCUCUCCACCCCUUUCUUUAAUAAUAUAUUUUGUUAAAAAUUACUUGAUAAUUUAGUGCUUAAUAACAAUUGUGAUGAUCGACCCCUUUUUAAAAACCAUUUUUUAAUUGUAUAUUGAUUAGACAAAUUUCCUCUGACUUGAUAAUGUGGGCAUGUUUAUGAUUUCAAUUUGAUUCUCGUUUCUGUUCUCUAUGCCUCCCUCUCAUUCUAGGCUAGUUCUCAUCCUGGGCUAGUUUUCCGUGUAUCCCUUUUUUCUUCAUUAGACGGGGAUUUAUGGAGCACUGCGCAGGGUGUUGCACUUGCAGGGCUCCAGAAACAGACAGAUCUCAUGCUUCAUAGCUGAGCGGCAGGGAGCUGGCGUGGCCUACUUUCCAGCACAGGAAUGAGACUGAGGAAAAGCCUUUGGAGUUCGCACUGGCCAGCUUCCGUGCCUGUUUCCGUGCCGAGCCUGGUUUGUUACACACGUUCACAUCAGUGUCCCUGUCAGCUGUUUCCACCUGACAGCCUUAUGGGGUGAGUUCAGGAGUCUGUGCUCUAAUCUGAUUGCGUCCUUUGUGAGGGAUGUAGCUGCUGAAGAUGAGGAGGAAUAUUCUUGUCAGGGAUGCCUAGACGACCAUUAACACAGUUCACGAUGUAUUGUGUAAUUAUUAAAAUGUAUGUUCCACAUAUAGAUUUUCUGGUUAUUGAGGGUGUAUUCCGUUUACCCCCUUUUAAAAAUUGUCAUUUUUUGACAACAGAAGGAGGAACUCCAGAUUUCUUAUAACAAUUUAAUGUGUGCACUUGAGUGUGUGUCUGCAUGUGCAGCAGAGGCCUUGGGUCCGGCCCUCUGCGCUGGAGCUCACAGUGAAGGCUGGGAUCUGAGCUUUGUCCUCAUGAUGGUGCAGCCAGCACUCAUUUCAACUGUGAGCCUAACACUGAGCCGUCUCCCCGCCUGAGUCAUGUUCAGUUACAGAGCAGCACUGUGGUUAAUUAGUUUAAAGGACAUAUUUUAACAUUUCCUAAAACAAAAUUCUGGGUUUUUUCCAAGGCUAUUCAUUUUAUCUUUCAAAAUAUAUUUUCAAAGUGUCUAUUAUUAGGUAUUAAUAUUAGUAGGUAUUUUUCUUUUAAAUGAUAAAUAUAUAUUUACUAUGUAAAGAGACAUGUCUGCUUUUCAAAUAUCUUAUUUAUUUGAAAUGGUGUUGGGGACAUGUGUGCCACUGUCUCCAUGUCGAGGUCAGAGGACGAUUUCAUGGAGUUGUUUUUUGUCUUUCACCUUUCCAUGGGUUUCGAGGAUCACGCUCAGUCUCCACAUGUGUGCAGCAGCAAGUGCUUUGCCCACUGGUUCUCAGUGCUGAGUCUGACUUACAGUGUGACAGCUCAUGUCGGGUGUGCUGCAUCGGGGCUGCCCAGCUGCUGGUGCAGCUGUGUUCCCACUGAGCUCAAUGCCUUGAAGUAGGAAAUGAAAGCUAAAGAUCUCUCGACAAAUAAAAAGAAGUCCAGAAACGCAUGAAAUAUUUUCUAAUUUGUAAGGCCCACAUUAUCUCUGCUUUGUGUGCAGCUGUGCACCUGUUUCAUCUGAUUCCGGAGGAGCAGGUACACUAACAGGAAUCGGUGGCACAGGACACUGUUUGGAGCGAUACUGAUUACUUUGAAAUUUUUGGCCGUACUGUUCACUGCCAUGGGCUGCCGAGAUGUGCAUGCGGCCACAGUGCUCUCCUUCCUGUGUGGCAUUGCCUCUGUGGCAGGCCUCUUCGCGGGGACUCUGCUUCCCAACUGGAGGAAACUGCGGCUCAUCACCUUCAACAGAAACGAGAAGAACCUGACGGUUUACACCGGCCUGUGGGUGAAGUGUGUCCGGUACGAUGGAAGCAGUGACUGCCUGAUGUACGACCGCACCUGGUACCUGUCUGUGGACCAGCUGGACCUGCGUGUCCUCCAGUUUGCCCUGCCUCUCAGCAUCCUGAUCGCAAUGGGUGCCUUGCUACUCUGUCUGAUUGGAAUGUGUAACACGGCCUUCAAGUCCUCGGUGCCUAACAUCAAACUGGCCAAGUGUCUGGUCAAUAGUGCGGGCUGCCACCUGGUGUCUGGACUCCUGUUUUUCCUGGCCGGCACUGUCAGCCUCUCCCCAUCCAUCUGGGCCAUCUUCUAUAACACUCAUCUCAACAGGAAGUUUGAGCCAGUCUUUGCCUUUGACUAUGCGGUGUUUGUCACUAUCGCUAGCUCAGGGGGUCUGUUUAUGACCGCUCUUCUUCUGUUCAUUUGGUACUGCGCAUGCAAAUCUCUGUCCUCGCCUUUCUGGCAGCCGCUGUACUCUCAUCCUGCCAGUAUGCACACUUACUCACAGCCCUACUCAUCGCGCUCCCGCCUCUCCGCCAUAGAAAUCGACAUUCCGGUAGUUUCCCAUAGCACUUAACAGAGAUAGAGUUAGCCGUCAGAAGUCCGUGUCGUACGGUAGCCUCACGGUCCCUUGCGUAAAGAGCCUUUUUGGACCUGUAUAUUUUUUCCUUUGUUCUUGACUAGUCAGUGGAGCCAAAUUUAUAUAUCUUGGUAGAGUGAAAUGCUGCUAGAUUUUAUGAGGUAUAUAUUACGUUCUUCUAAAUGUGAAGCAUUCCUUCUAUCUUGCGUCUAAUCCUAGAAGGGUAUUUAGCCUCCCUGUUGAUGUCUGGUGGCAGCUGAGGCGAUGAAACAGCACAGAGAGGACAGGGCUGUUGUGCUCAAUCCUGGCGGUAUUUCAGAUCCUGUUUGUCUCUGGCGGCCUAAACAGAAAAGAGCAGUUAAGUACAAGGAAUUUCAGUCAGGAGAGGAUUGCAGUUCGUCUCCGGGACUCUGCCAGCUCGAGGGUAUAAUUUUGUUCUCUCCUGGGACUAAUUGAACAGGCACCAGUACACUGAAGAUUACUAUCUUCUACCUCAUGUCAGUGCAAAGUGAUAGCAUUUUAAAUGAUGUUAGAGUAAGGCUAACAUUUAAAUAUGGCUAACAUUUAACUUCUUUUUUCGUUUUCAGACAGACUCUUGCUGUGUACUCCUGGCUGGCCUAGAACUCCCUCUCUAGACCAGGCUGCCCUCAAACUUUUCACUGUUCUCCCGUCUGCCUCCUGAGCAAUGACUGCAGGCAUGCCCAACCACACCUAGUGCUCCAGAAUUUUUAGUUAGAGGUUUCAUUGUUGGAGUUGAAAUGUGCCAAGUGACAGGAAAGAUAAAAUCCUUUCCAGAUACCCAUCAGUCAGGUAGUCCUCAUGCCCUGUACAAGCUUAGUGGCUAAGACAAGUGAACAAAAGAUUGUUGAAGCCAAAUGGUUGCCUUUUAGACCUCCAUGGCAGGGCACGGGAGCCUGUUCUUAGUGACAGUGUAAGAGAGUCACGUGGUGGCUGCUGUGGGUAAUGAGUGAUGUGUGUGGUGACAGCUGGCCUGCUCAGCUCCCGCCCCUCCCUCACAGCUGACCUUUAGCCUGUAGUCCGCCUCACGCUGAGUAGUGCUCCAGGGGACACACAAAGGAGGAUGUAGCUACAUCUGUGUAGAAAUUCUGACCUAAUACAGAACAAACUGAUAACAGACAACCAGCCAAAAGGCUGCUUUUCCUGGCAGCUGGUGACUUCUCAAGCAUUGGUCCAGGAAAAUAUUUCAGCUGAGCCGUGUCUUCCUGGCACAGACAGCCUAUGGCACACCAGCAGCAAUGUCCUGGACACAGAGAUUGACCUAAGUUACAUCUCCCCUCGUAGCUUCCGAGCUGUGCUAACAGUUUCAGAUAAGGAGAACGGGAAGGCGGUGGAGAGAUUAAACUGUACCCUUUCUACCUCGGAGAUUAAGAUGAUGCAUUAGAGAGAGACAGGUUUUAAAAAUGUCUCCUGAUGUGAUAUCAAGCGAAAGAAAGCAUGUUGAUACUAAAGUAACACUUUGACAUUAAGAGUUGUUGGGUCUUAACUCUUAGUGGUUUGAGCUGCUCAAUUGAUAUAAUUUCAGUGUACUAGCACUAUGUUUGCAAGGAUUGUGGUAUAUUAUAGUUACAGAUUUUUAUAAGCGGCUGAUUUUGUGAUAAACAGUUCAUGAUGCCUCUUUUGCAAAUCUGAGUAUUUCUAUAGAGAUGUGUAGUAGUUUUCCCUAAGUCCAACACUACUUCAUGUAGGCAAUUAAAGCCAAUUGUAUAAUUUUUAAAUGCUGUCAUUACAAAGCAUGUACAUCUAUGGUUUUUUAAAUUAUCACUUUGAAUCUUUAUCACCUCUGGUUCUUCUUAUUCAUAGAUAUAGCUAAGUGUUGAUCAUUCCAAGACAAUGGCAGCUGGAUUUUGAGAUUAGUAUUAGUUUUUCUCCUUUGUUAGUUAGUCUUAGUUUUUCUCUCACUAAACUGUUGUUCAAAAGGGCCAAGAAUUCCACCAUCCCUUGGUUGUAGUAUAAAGAGUUAAAAGUAGGGCCAGGCAUGGUGGCUUUUGACAUUAAUUCCAGUACUCAGGAGGCAGAGACAGGUGCAUCUCCCUGGACAUCCUGGUCUCCAUACCAAGUUCCAAGCCGGUCUGAGGUAUACAGUGAGACACUGUCUCAAAAAAAAUUUAAAAAGAGAAAAAGAAAACAAACGGACUCACUCAGCAGUGAGAAUAGGAGAGUUUGCGGCUCCCAGGGUUGUACUGCAAAUGCUAAGCUUUCUUAGGAGAGUCUAUGGCAUCAUUAUCUAUAGCCUCCGGUUAGUAUUUAUUACGAAUUCACUCAGGAAGAGAAACAGCUAUUUCUGUAUUGUCGUUUUGGUAUUGCAGGUUUGACAUAAAUAGCUAUUUUGUGAAGCCAUCAAAGGAAAGCAUGCACUCACAGUCCUUGGGAGCCUCCUGAGCACUCCUGGGCCAUGUGAGAUGGGGUGGAUAACUUCUUCUGUUGUUUAAAAGCUGUUCAUUUUAAAGGCAUUCUGAGGGGCCAGCUUGGUCCACAACCUCAAAUGUGAGAUGGAAUACCAGGCUUGUGUUGUCCAGCUUCAGAAAAGAAUCAGUUCACUCUGCUUGUGUAUGUGCCCUAUGAUGGAUAGUGUGCGCUGUGAACCACAAGCUUUAAGGUAAAACAGUUUGAGAAAUGCUUUUCAAGUAUAUGCCAGUGCAAUGAAGGCACUCCUAAAGGACUGGACUAGGAUCUAGAAGCCGGGAGUCGCUGCGACGCAAGGAGCCGUUGACGAGCUCGUCCUCCAGCCUCUGGGCCGUUCGCCAGUCUGCAGAAAUGCUGGAGAAAGAUGACAGCCGAGUCCUCUUCAGCAGUGAACUUCUGUGUUUAGGAUGAUCAGGAAUCCCAAGUAUUUAGAGAAUGUCCUGCCUGUUAUCACUUACAUGCCUGGAGCCUUAAGAAGCCAAAAGAAGACAUCAGAUCUCCUGAAACAGGAGUUACUCACAAGUGGAGCUGCCACAUGAAUGUUGGGGAUCCAACAAGGGUCCUCUGGAAAAAAAUCAGUAUUCUUAACUGCCGAACCACCAGCCCAGCCCCUGCCAUAUGCUUUUUCUUGCCUGUAUUUCUAGAAAAUAAAGCUGUGGAGUGGAAUGGCCAAAAGGCUGCCCCGAGAGCUGGCAGCCCUCCUCUGGGAUGCCUCUGCAGUCUAUUUUAGAAACAAAGGCACCCAGACUGCCAAAGAAAUUAACAGUGAAUGGCACAAGCAUGAAUAAUGCCAAUGCCAAAUAGAAGCGCGACUACCCACGUCCCCAGCUCUACUGGCGCUCUUUGGGGGCUUUGUGACAUGAGGGCAGGACCAGCUUCCUGAGCAUUGUGGAAUCACAGUUGAAGGACUUUUCAGUUGUUUCUACUUUCUAGCUGUUGUGAAUAUAGCAGCAACAAAUAGUACCAAGCAGGUAUCUCUGAAGAACACUUGAAUGUUCACCACCUUAGCCAUCAGGGAAAUGCAAACCAAAACUACUUUGAGAUUUCAUCCUACGCCUAUCAGAAUGCCUAGGAUCAAUUUUAAAAAAGUGACAGCUCAUACUGGCGAGGAUGUAGAGUGACAGGAACAUUCAUCCAUUGCUGGUACGACUUCAGACUUGUACAACCACUAUAGAAGUCAAUAUGGCAGUUCAUCUGAAGAUGGAAGUCAGUCUACCUUAAGAUCCAGCUAUACCACUCUUGUACAUAUACACAAAAGAUGCUUCCUCCUACCUCAGAGACACUUGCUCAACCAUGUUCAUUGCUGCUCUAUUCAAAAUGGCCAGAUAUUGGAAACAACCUAGAUGUCCCUAAACGGAUGAAUAAAGACAAUGUAACUUU